rnacentral:rRNA from 1 species
AACGAACGCUGGCGGCAGGCCUAACACAUGCAAGUCGAACGAACGUAGCAAUACGUGAGUGGCGCACGGGAGAGUAACACGUGGGAACCUACCUUUUGGUUGGAAUAACGUCGGGAAACUGACGCUAAUACCGGAUAAGCCCUACGGGGGAAAGAUUUAUCGCCGAAAGAUGGGCCCGCGCUAGAUUAGCUUGUUGGUGAGGUAAUGGCUCACCAAGGCUACGAUCUAUAGCUGGUCUGAGAGGAUGACCAGCCUCACUGGUACUGAGACACGGACCAGACUCCUACGGGAGGCAGCAGUGAGGAAUAUUGGUCAAUGGGCGGAAGCCUGAACCAGCCAUGCCGCGUG